rnacentral:rRNA from 1 species
AUUGAACGCUGGCGGCAUGCCUUACACAUGCAAGUCGAACGGUAACAGGUCUUCGGAUGCUGACGAGUGGCGAACGGGUGAGUAAUACAUCGGCACGUGCCCGAUCGUGGGGGAUAACGCAGCGAAAGCUGUGCUAAUACCGCAUACGAUCUACGGAUGAAAGCGGGGGAUCGCAAGACGCCGCGCGGACGGAGCGGCCGAUGGCAGAUGAGGUAGUUGGUGGGAUAAAAGCUUACCAAGCCGACGAUCUGUAGCUGGUCUGAGAGGACGACCAGCCACACUGGGACUGAGACACGGCCCAGACUCCUACGGGAGGCAGCAGUGGGGAAUUUUGGACAAUGGGCGCAAGCCUGAUCCAGCCAUGCCGCGUGCAGGAUGAAGGCCUUCGGGUUGUAAACUGCUUUUGUACGGAACGAAAAAGUUCUCUCUAAUACAGGGGGCGAAUGACGGUACCGUAAGAAUAAGCACCGGCUAACUACGUGCCAGCCGCCGCGGUAA